CAUUAGACGGCUUUUUCGUAACGAUGAGACACGUCACAGCGGCACUGUGUGACACUCCUGGAUGAGAAUGCAUUUUUUUUUCUGUAUUCGCAGUUGCAGCUUGGCACAUGAAAGAUGGCCCAUCACCUAAAGAAAAGCGGAAAAUAGAAGCGCUCUCUCAGCCCGCUGGCUUUCCUCUGGAGCAGCUGUCGGUCAGCGUCAGUUGGUGAAUCUCGGAAACACAGAUCGCUAAUGAGGCUGGAGCUCUCGAGGACUGCCUGGCCCUGAACUCAGCAUCACACGGUGCUAAGUGACGAGGAUCCCCUGCUGCACCCGGGGAGGCUUAUGCAUCUGAAACGCUUCUGCUGCUGCUGUGAUGGUGGUGUUGCAGACCCCCCAUGCCGGCCAGAUCUUUCUGCAGCUUCUGCACCGACACAUGAUCUGACUAGGAAGGAUGCAAAGGUGGAAGCAGACCGUGCUGGAUUCAGUUUCACAGCAUCUUACUGGAGCAAACACACACAACAUACUGCAAGGUUUUCAGUAGUAUCUACUUCCCCCUUUUUUUUUCUUUUUUUUUGUUUGAGAGGACACGGAUACACCCUGACUGGGCCCCUGUAGUGCUCUACAUUGUGGCUGGGAAGUACCUAGUUUUACAACUGUCAUGCUGGCCUGCUUAAAGGGACAGUGCUGAUCAAUUCGAAGCACAUAUUGAGGGGUCUUUUAGUCACCCUAACAAGGGGGUCACAUGGAUGUUUGAGUCGUCACCUGAUGUGUGAGGAAUGUGCAGUCAGAAGAGCCGUUUUCUGCAUCAAGCACUGCAUAAAAAUACUGAUUGAUAUUUGUUAAAAGAAUGUCUUUAAUAAAAAGUUGAAUUGAA